rnacentral:misc_RNA from 1 species
UCCUCUUUACAGAGGCAGUUUGUUUCGAGUUCCCACCAUUACGUGCUGGCAACAAAACAUGAGGGUUGCGCUCGUUGCGGGACUUAACCCAACAUUUCACAACACGAGCUGACGACAGCCAUGCACCACCUGUGGACCACCCUCGAAGGCGACUCCUUUUCUAGGGCCUUCCUAGGAUGUCAAGCCUUGGUAAGGUUCUUCGCGUAGCAUCGAAUUAAACCACAUGCUCCACUGCUUGUGCGGGUCCCCGUCAAUUCCUUUGAGUUUCAGUCUUGCGACCGUACUCCCCAGGCGGCGAACUUAACGCGUUAGCUUCGAUACUGCGUGCCAAAUUGCACCCAACAUCCAGUUCGCAUCGUUUAGGGCGUGGACUAC